ensembl:lncRNA
GUCCAGAGCUUAGAGGCUUCAGAGUAGGGCCUGAUAGGCCUGGCCCCCCAAGCCCCUCCCCAAGUACCCAUCCAGCUCCGGGGAGAGAGCCUACUAUAAACUCCCAGGGUGGGAGACAGCGAAUCAGUGCCCACUGCCUCCUGCUCUAUGUGUGAGACAGUGACCCCGCACUCCACCAACACUUGUCCUGGGUCCCCUCGCUCCCCCCGCUGUGCCAGCUGCCAGCUCUCGGCUGGGGCAUCGUCAUGACGCCCGUGUGCAGUCAUAGUCCUGGGCCUGGCUCUGCUCCCUCUCAGAGACCCCUUCUCCCAGCAGUGCUGCCUGGCUAACUCCUGUGCACCCUUCCAGACUCAGCUCAGGUACUGGGGUUCAGCUGCAAGUAACACUCAACUUCAGCCAUCAGGAAGCCCACUGAAGAAGAGGAGACCGAGAUGAACAAGCAGUGAGCUUCAGGCAACUCCAUCUCCCCCUAAAGCACACAGGGACUUACAUCACAUCAAAACCCCGGCCAGGCCUCCUUGACUCCACCAGUUGCUGGCACAGCUGGCUGCGGGCAGAGGGGCGAUUAGCAUGCUAUAUACACCUGUCCGCGCUGCUCCGCAGAUCCAGGGGCCAGAGAAUUAACAACCAGGAGGAUUUUUUUGGAGUUCCCGGAACCCAGCCCCGCUCACAUCAGAGACCUCAUUCCCCUUUAGGGAUUCAUUCGCUCUGCACAGCUGGUUAAUUUUUCAUCAAGGGUGGGGAUGGGGAUUGGGAGAACGCUC